UGAAGGAUAAAAACAUUUAUAGCCUUUAGGAGAUGGAAUAUAACAAAAAAAAAAUGCACUUACUUGAAUGAUAGUCAAACUUAUGUAUGUUAUAUUCUCUUAAGUAAAAGUCAAACUUAUGUAUGUUAUAUUCUCUUAAGUAAAGAUGACAUGAACGACCAAAGCAUUUCGGCAUGCUGUAAUCAAGGUUAUGUUUGAACACCUCCUCAUGUAGUGUUAAAAAUUAAAGAAUGGCAGGAGACAACCUAUCAAUAUGAUAUAACUAUGUGAAAUGCAUCCCACUAGAACUUGAAAAGUAAUUUUGCUUGCGCUUAUAACGUAAGUCCUAAUUCAACAAUAUGCUUAUGUUUCCUUUCAACCAUCCCAUUUUGAUGAUAUGUGUAAGGACAAGAGUGUUUAAAGAGAAUUCCAUAUUGGUUCAAGAAUGAGAUAAAAGUUAUGUAUUCUCCUCCCCUUAGUCUCAUUGCAGCAUUUUAAUGGCUAUGUUGAAUUAAUUUUCAACCUAUAAUUUAAAGAUUUUGAACAUCUCUAAAGGCGUUGACUUAAGUUUUAAAGGAUAAAUCUAAAUAUAUUUACUAAAGUCAUCUACAAAGCUAAUGUAGC
rnacentral:lncRNA from 1 species